AAGUAUACAGCCUUUGGCUCAUAGACAAUUAUGUAAUAUAUUAUCGGCUUUUAAAAAAAUAAUAAAUGGUAAAUUUUGCAUCUAAGAGUGUUGAUACAAAAUUCUAACCGAAAAAGAAAAAAAGAAAAAGAGAGAGAUGAUGCGAAAUUCUAGAAAUAGAUGGUGAAAAGAAAAAUGGACCCCAAGAGAUAAAAGGAUAAUUUGAAAAAUAAAUGAGGUAUUAAAAAAAAAAAGAAAAAGAACAAGGGCAGGGUUAAUAUCACCGCCUUAAUUGAAAGAUAAAGGAUUCAAGUUUUACCGGUUCGUGUAAACAAUAAUGACAUCCACGGCACUCAUCUUCCAAGCAACAAUAUGCACAUCCAUUGCAGUCUAAAUUGCCGAAAGAUUUACAUCCUUCACAUUCAUCUCCAUUGCGGCAAUACUCACAUCCGUUGCAAUAUUCAUCUCCGUUGCAGCAAUUUGCACAGCCCCAG
rnacentral:lncRNA from 1 species